UACGAAGGGGGCUAGCGUUGCUCGGAAUUACUGGGCGUAAAGCGCACGUAGGCGGAUCGAUCAGUCAGGGGGUGAAAUCCCAGAGCUCAACUCUGGAACUGCCUUUGAUACUGUCGAUCUAGAGUAUGGAAGAGGUGAGUGGAAUUCCGAGUGUAGAGGUGAAAUUCGUAGAUAUUCGGAGGAACACCAGUGGCGAAGGCGGCUCACUGGUCCAUUACUGACGCUGAGGUGCGAAAGCGUGGAGAGCAAACAGG
rnacentral:rRNA from 1 species